CUCCUACUGCUUGGUGCAACAAAGCUCAACCAAAAUCAAUUUUGGCACCAAUGGAAUUGUUUCAGGUUCUGGCGUAGUUUCUACUCCCUUGCUUGCUAAGAAUCCCAAAACCUUCUAUUACCUCACACUCGAUGCAAUCAGUGUAGGAGAUCAAAGAUUAGGUUUUACAUCAGGAUCAACUCCGGGAGGAGACAUUGUAAUUGAUUCUGGUACUACACUAACCUAUUUACCACCAGCUUAUGCCUCAAAAUUGCUUUCAGUAAUGUCCAGUAUGAUAGCGGCACAACCCGUUGAAGGGCCAUAUGAUCUUUGCUACAGUAUUAGUUCACGACCUCAAUUUCCUGAAGUCACAAUACAUUUCAGAGAUGCAGAUGUGAAGUUGAGCCCUUCCAACUUUUUUAUGAAUAUUUCAGAAGACCUUGUGUGUUCAGUUUUUAAUGCUCGCGAUGACAUUCCACUUUAUGGCAACAUUAUGCAGACCAACUUUUUGAUCGGUUAUGACAUUGAGGGACGCACAGUUUCGUUUAAACCAACCGACUGCUCCAAGCAGUAGUAAUUAAGUUGGAUGUGCGUUUUUAGUUUCAAUUUUUAAAAGUUGCAAUAAAUAUUCUCAUCCCAUAUAUGUAUGAUUUGCUGUAUUUUGUUUUGAAUCAAUUAAUUCGGAAAGUACUUUAAAAUCUUAAACAUCAAAAAAGCUCAUUGUAGUAAGGCAGUCACUAGAUUAAGUAAAACACAAUCAGGUCCAUAACAAGAUCCUUCACCGUUAAUUCGGAGAAAAAUUAAGCUUUGCUACAAGCAGGGGUGUAUCAAAAGGAAUUUUCCUCUCAAGACUUGCUAACCAUUGAUUCCGUGAUCGCUGCUUUAUCUUUCAUGUUAGCUAAAGUGUUGGCUAUGGCAUUUUGCCACCUAACUUUUUCAACUAAUUAUGUUAAAGUGAAUACACACGUGAAAAAAAAAUAGACCAAAUGAUUGAGUAUGCACUAAGAGCACUCACAAUUUGAUAGUUGUCGAAGCCAGCAAAAAUAAAUACAUACUUUAAAUAAAUUGUGUAUAGUGAUUGAGUAGGGUCGUGUCCAUAGAGAUCGGUAAUUAUUUAAAUCAUUUUAAAAUAUAAAAUGCAAAAUGAGGGAAUUGUUGACAAUAAUAAAAAUCAAAUUAAAAUAAUAGGAACGCAAAUUCAAAUUGUAAUUCAAAUUGGGGAAAGCUCUGGUUCAAGGAAUUAACUCAGCUUGAUUCGACUACUGAUCAUUAAUUCAAAUAUAAAUUAUUACUACUUAUGAAUAGACCGGUUAUAGCCACUGAGACCCUCUAAUAGCCAAUCUCUCCUUAACUAGUCGAUAAUCAAGGUACGACCGUUGGUUAUUUCCCUAAUCAAUAGACAACCCUAGAUACGAUCAUAGGAUUUAAUCAACUGACAGCCAGAAAAACCAGAGAGACCCAAAUCCUAAUCAACAAACGCAUACGAUGGUUCAUUUAAAUUAGAUUGUCUAUUCUCAUAACACAACGCACUGCUAUGCUAUUUGUCACAAACAUUAAAAUCUUCAUACGAUGAAUCCUUUAAUUGACAAUAGAUUAAUUUGAUAAUUAAAUAGUGGCCAAUUAUCUAAUUAACAAACAUAAUCACGACAAUAAUUCAGAGAAUAAACAAAUACCCAAAAAGUAAUAAAACAAUUAAAGAAUAAGAAAAAUCUCACAGUAGUGACGAAUCAAAACGUCAUUAACCUUCAACUAGAAUAAUAGGUUUAGUUCUUCAUAGAGAGACGAGAAAAAUUUAGAUCUAAGGUUUCUUUCUUUUCCAAAAAUCUCCCCUUUUCACAAUAGAUUUCUCCCUUAAAUACUCUUCUCUCUCUUCUCCUCUAGAGUUCUUUUUAAAAUAAAAUACUAAUAUCUAAAAUAUUAAAUUCGUAAUUACAAAAAUAACCAAAAAUACAAAAUACGUUAAACUAAAAACUGCAGGUCCGUAGUUGACAGCACGCGCCCACGCCUUAUCAACAAAGUUCUUCUGAAGCUCAUAAUUUCUCCAAGAAAACAAUCAUCCUCAAACAUCAUCUUGUAGCUCAAUUUUAGCACCAAUCAAUAGAAUUGCACCUACAAAAAUAAAACACAAGUAAAUCACUAUUAUUAAGUGCAAAACAUCGAUAUUAAAGGAAGUAAAUAAUGCAAAACUAGGGCAUAAAUUGUACUCUAACAAAUUCCCCCACACCAAGAUAAUGCUUGUCCUCAAGCAUAUAACUCAAGACUAAUCCCAAAUCUCCACUCAAUUGUCAUCUCAACUCAUCUGAAAACAAUCUUAAGCAAGCAUACCUCAAGAAUUUAAGUCGAUCAACAUUCGAGAGAUAAGGAUUUUAAAGCAUAGGAUCUCGUAAGCUAAUAUAAAAGAAAAACGAAACCAUCAAAAUUUGUAUUUUCUUUUUAUUUUAAAAAAUAGAAGGGCAAAUAAAUACGCCGUAUUUAUACGCAUACUACUUCGUAUGUCACAUAUAUUUCACACAAGGACUGAUAUCUGAACUUCAAUACUGGUUAUAUAUGGAAGAUAGCAAGAAAAAUUUACAAGCCACAUCUCUAAUCAAUCUAUAAAAUAUUGGAAAUGAGGGGUGAGCCGUCAACUCGGUAAGCAAAUCCAUGCAUAAUAUUUGAAAACCUUGUCAUUUUACCUUUAAACAUUUUAUAACAUCUUCAUCUAGCACAAGGGGUGAAUUCAUGUAAAAGUAUUAAAAAUAUUAAAACGUUCAUAAAAAGAUUAAAACAUAAAUAUUAGUAGCUCAUGUCUCGUAGUCAUUAUCAUUCAUCACUCAUCAUUUAGGGUGUUAUACCCUGCAUUGUUCCUCAUUCAGGGUACUAUACCUCACAUUGUUCAUAACAUCCUUGUGCACAAGAUCAUCAUCAUACCAGCAAGCUGGCCAUAGCAUUACAUAACAUCAUAAUAUUAGCAUCAUUUACAUUACUACGGACUAUGAGCCAAAACAUUUUUUAAUCCACCUUACAUUCUUUCAUAAAUAGCAUUUAAAGUUUUCUAAAACAUUUAAGAACCUUUCUUUGAUCAUUUAAUUCUUUUGGAAAAAUUUUUAAGGAAACUGCUGUACCGUACAUCCGCCUUGGCCGUACAGCAGGAAAAAUGGGUAAGUAGAUGGAGAGAAUUAGAUGGGUAAUGGUUAAGGCUCAGACAAAGAUAACAAAUAAAAGUCUUCGGGUGGAGAAAAAGAAGAAAAAUGCGAGAAUAGAAAAAUGGAAUACCGUUUCCCUUAUCAUUUUAAUGCAUAAAAUCCCGUAAUGCGGCUUCAACAUGCAUAACAAAGCAAGUUCUAGAAUAAACAAACUAAGAUUGAUAUUCACAUAACAAAAGUAAUUAGAGCAAAGUGGUUGCUCAUAGGCUCAAAUCCUCACAAAGUUGGUAAAUUUUCCAUCAAAUCAUGUACACUCUUCAAAUGAAUCAACCAUCAAUAGUGGUGUAGAAUGAGAAGAAGGUAGGAAUGAUAUAUAAAAGGAAAGGUGAAAAUGAUAAGAAGCGAGAAAGAUGUAUGUAGUAAUGUAAAAAGUGAAAGAUAAAAUGUGAGUGAUGAAAGAAUAUGAUAGAAUAAAAAUAAAUGUAAAUAAUUUGAGAUAGAUGGGAAAAGAGUAGUGAGAAAGAAAAGAAAAGAAAAACAAUAAUAUAUGAAGCAUACUAACUCCAAAAUCAUUUAAGGAUAAGUAGAGUGAAAAUAAUAUUUCCAGACAUCAAUAUAGCAAAAAUCCCUCCCCCACACCAAGAACUUACAUUGUCUCCAAUGUAAGAUAAUCAAAGCUCACAUAAAUAAAAUAAAAAAUAAAGCGUAAGGAUAAAAGUUUAAAGGCAAAACUUCCCUGAAUUGUGAGCUUUGAUCCACAUAACGUCUAUGGGCUUGGCGGAAAUGGUGGGAUAAAUCCCACACUCUCGAAGUAUACGGCCAAAUUCUGCUCCAUCUUGUUCAGCUUGUGCUCCAUUUUCUCCAACUGAAUGCUCAAAGGUGGUGCAUAUGCAGAAGGAAUAGUUGGUGGGGCAAUAGUUUCGUCGUCAAACUCGUCAUCAGAGGUAGCACCACUCCUAGCAUAAAGCUUCUUUGGAAGUUGAGUGGGUCCUGGUUCAGUAAACUGAAAUCUCCCCUCCUUGAAUUCGACCACACCUGUUCUUUCAAACACAGACAUAUCCAAAAAUUCAUUUUUGCAAAUAAAAUUCAGUUUUAGAGAAAACUCCCGAGUGAUCUUUUUUUUCUAAAAAAUUAUAUGCUAAGAACUGAUGCACACAUUUCAAAACAGGAUCACGUAAGAAAUAGCUCUUUGAUUUAUUCGGUACAGCAGACACAUUUCAAAACAGGAUCACGUAAGAAAUAGCUCUUUGAUUUAUUCGGGUCAUAGGCAUUGUGAUCAAAAGAUAAAUUACGCCAAAAAUCAUAAGGCUCAAAAUUUUUGCUAAAGUCACAAGUUGUUCCUAAAUAUGCAUCAAGAUAAAUUACGCCAAAGACCAUAAGGCUCAAAAUUUUUGCUAAAGUCACAAGUUGUUCCUAAAUAUGCAUCACUAGAAGAAUAAUCAUCAUCAAUGAAUCCUAAAGCUAGGUUAAAAUAUGUGAUAGAUUGUGAAAAAUUUAGUCCCAUUAACCUAAACUUUAUAACAUCCGGAAUAUGCAAAGUAAAAUCAUUUGGUAUAUUAAAUUGAAAAGUAGCAUAGAACUCCCUAAUCAACUCAACAUAACCCAAACAAUCAACAUCAACAAACUUACGCAAACCAAUCUUAUCUAUCAAAGAAUCAAAAUUAUCCUUAACAUUCAAUUUUUCAAGAGUCGGGUAAUGAAUAUACUUAGCUGGAAGUAUUUUUCGCUUGGAAAUAUCUUUGUACCUUUCUUUCUCUUGUUGAGUCGUAAAUGUAAGGCACCCUCCGAGAUUGGAUUCAACAAGUGGCAAAACACUCAUGUCUUUUCUAUGUUUCGAUCUUUGUCUCACGGCUUGGCGUGAAUCUGAAACUGUGUUCCAUGGAAUCGUAGUGGGAGCGGCAAUCUUGGAUUUCUUUGCGACGGGUGUAUUUUUAGAUGACUUGGAAGUUGAUGCUUUCCUCUUCGGCAUUGUCACAAUAAUUUCACUCACGGGUAAAGAUUCACGCGGCUGGAAUGCUGGGCAUGGACUGCUUGCGAAUGCAGCUGGGAUUUGGGAUGCACGACUGCUGGUGAUUGCAAACACGCGGCUGUUGGUUGCGCGCGCGGGAUGCUGAGAUGCGUGGGCUGGUGCUGCGCUGGUGGGCUGGAGCUGGGCGUGGGUUGCUGGUGAUUGCACUGGUUGGAGCUGGGCGUGCAUGGGCUAGUGACUGCAGGCACGCGGCUGGUGGUUGUGGAUGCGAGAUGCUGCGCUGCUGGUUACAGACGCGAGAUGCUUGCGCGCGCGGCUGGUGAAGGCUGGUGAUGUGAGAUGGUUGGUGAGCGCAGCUGCUGCUCUGGUGCUGCGCUGCUGGUUGCGCAGAAUUCUUUUGGACUGGUUGCAUGCGCGGGACGGAGCUAGAGACGCAGCGCGCGAUGCACGGUGGAUGCUGUUUGGUGGGCUGGAGCUGCUGGAGGUGGCUGUUGCGGGAUGGUAGGAUGAUAGGAACAAAUUUUUUUUUCAAUUAGGGAUUUAUUAAUAGUGAAAACAAUUUUUUUUUUCAAAUAAAAUAAAAAAACCUCUUUUUUAUUGAAACUAAAAAAAAGUAAAUAAAAAAAAGUUUUUUAUUUAAAAAAAAAGUUUUUUUAUUUUUUUUUAAACUAAAAACUAAAAGAGACACUUGAGACACCAAAAAAAUUACAGAAGUACUUUUUAGUUAAGACGUGGGCACGCCUAAAAACCAUUUUACUUUAAAAUUACAGAAGUACUUAUUAGUUAAGACGUGGGCACGCCUAAAAACCAUUUUACUUUAAAAUCACAGAAGUGCUUAUUAGUUAAGACGUGGGCACGCCUAAAAACCAUUUUACUUUAAAAUUACAGAAGUACUUAUUAGUUAAGACGUGGGCACGCCUAAAAACCAUUUUACUUUAAAAUCACAGAAGUGCUUAUUCGGAGUAUGCAAAGUAAAAUCAUUCGGUAUAUUAAAUUGAAAAGUAGCAUAGAACUCCCUAAUCAACUCAACAUAACCCAAACAAUCAACAUCAACAAACUUACGCAAACCAAUCUUAUCUAUCAAAGAAUCAAAAUUAUCCUUAACAUUCAAUUUUUCAAGAGUCGGGUAAUGAAUAUACUUAGCUGGAAGUAUUUUUCGCUUGGAAAUAUCUUUGUACCUUUCUUUCUCUUGUUGAGUCGUAAAUGUAAGGCACCCUCCGAGAUUGGAUUCAACAAGUGGCAAAACACUCAUGUCUUUUCUAUGUUUCGAUCUUUGUCUCACGGCUUGGCGUGAAUCUGAAACUGUGUUCCAUGGAAUCGUAGUGGGAGCGGCAAUCUUGGAUUUCUUUGCGACGGGUGUAUUUUUAGAUGACUUGGAAGUUGAUGCUUUCCUCUUCGGCAUUGUCACAAUAAUUUCACUCACGGGUAAAGAUUCACGCGGCUGGAAUGCUGGGCAUGGACUGCUUGCGAAUGCAGCUGGGAUUUGGGAUGCACGACUGCUGGUGAUUGCAAACACGCGGCUGUUGGUUGCGCGCGCGGGAUGCUGAGAUGCGUGGGCUGGUGCUGCGCUGGUGGGCUGGAGCUGGGCGUGGGUUGCUGGUGAUUGCACUGGUUGGAGCUGGGCGUGCAUGGGCUAGUGACUGCAGGCACGCGGCUGGUGGUUGUGGAUGCGAGAUGCUGCGCUGCUGGUUACAGACGCGAGAUGCUUGCGCGCGCGGCUGGUGAAGGCUGGUGAUGUGAGAUGGUUGGUGAGCGCAGCUGCUGCUCUGGUGCUGCGCUGCUGGUUGCGCAGAAUUCUUUUGGACUGGUUGCAUGCGCGGGACGGAGCUAGAGACGCAGCGCGCGAUGCACGGUGGAUGCUGUUUGGUGGGCUGGAGCUGCUGGAGGUGGCUGUUGCGGGAUGGUAGGAUGAUAGGAACAAAUUUUUUUUUCAAUUAGGGAUUUAUUAAUAGUGAAAACAAUUUUUUUUUUCAAAUAAAAUAAAAAAACCUCUUUUUUAUUGAAACUAAAAAAAAGUAAAUAAAAAAAAGUUUUUUAUUUAAAAAAAAAGUUUUUUUAUUUUUUUUUAAACUAAAAACUAAAAGAGACACUUGAGACACCAAAAAAAUUACAGAAGUACUUUUUAGUUAAGACGUGGGCACGCCUAAAAACCAUUUUACUUUAAAAUCACAGAAGUGCUUAUUAGUUAAGACGUGGGCACGCCUAAAAACCAUUUUACUUUAAAAUCAUAGAAGUACUUAUUAGUUAAAACGUGGGCACGCCUAAAAAUAAAUAAAUCCUUUGGGUUGCCUCCCAAAAAGCGCAUUUGUUUUAUGUCUUUGGCUAGACACAUUCAUGCAUCAAUCUCUAUAAAUGGGACUCUCGAGAGCCACAUCCUCCACAAUAUUCACCGAAAAACCUUCAUAAAAAGGUUUUAAGCGAUAACCAUUAACCUUAAAAACUUUGUCAGAGGUCGGACUCCGAAUCUCAACUGCAUCAUGAGAAAAAAUAUUAGUAACAAUAAAAGGUCCUACCCAGGGAGAACGUAAUUUAUCAGGAAAAAGUUUAAGCUUAGAAUGAAAAAGAAGAACUUUUUGACCAACAGAGAACUCCUUUCUUAAAAUCAUUUUGUCAUGAAAUGUCUUCGUCGUUUCCUUGUAAAAUCGUGAACUCUCAUAGGAUUCGUUUCUAAUCUCCUCCAACUCUUGCAGCUGUAACUUCCUCUACGGACUUAUCCCUUUGAUAUCAGUAAUUGUCCACUCAAUAGCCUUUUUGUAAUCCUUCAGCACUCUAAUAAUUUGAUAUCUCAGCUUGUCCACUUGUCUGUGGAUGAUAGGUGGUAGACACUUGGUGGGUAACAUGAUAUCUCUUGAACAAAGCCUCCACCACCCGAUUACAGAAAUGAGUGCCUCUAUCACUUAUCACCGCUCUCGGUAUACCAAACCUGGUAAAAAUAUUAGACUUGACAAAAUCUACAACAAUUUUAGCAUUAUCAGUCCGGGUAGCCUUAGCCUCUACCCACUUAGAAACGUAAUCCACUGCUAAAAGAAUGUAAGAAUUGCCAAAAGAUGAGGGAAAAUGUCCCAUAAAAUCAAUGCCUCACACAUCGAAUAUUUCACACACAAGAAUAGGGGUAAAUGGCAUUUGAUUCCUAUGACUUAAAUUACCAGUCUUUUGACAAUUCUCACACGACUUACAAAACAUGUAUGAAUCACGAAAUAAAGUAGGCCAAAAUAAACCACAUUCUAACACCUUGGAUGCUGUCCUUUUGGGACCCAAAUGACCACCACAUGCAUAUGAGUGACAAAACUGAAGAAUAUAAGGAAUUUCAAACUCAGAUACGCACCUUCUGAUGACUUGGUCAGAGCAAUGUUUCCACAAGUAAGGGUCAUCCCAAACAUAGUACUUAACAUCGCUCUUAAUCUUAUCUAUUUUAGCCCUCGUCAGAUCACUAGGUAGUGUUCUUGUAACUAAGUAAUUGACAAUGUCAGCGUACCAAGGAACCAUACCUUGAGUUACAAAGAGAUGCUCAUCUAGAAAAUCAUCCUUCAAAGGUGUUGCUUCUUCACUCGUGGUCAAUAUACUAAGGUGGUCUGCAACCAAGUUUUAUGCUCCUUUCUUGUCACGAAUCUCUAAGUUGAACUCUUGAAGUAGUAGGAUCCAGCAGAUGAGUCUCGGUUUCACCUCCUUUUUGGCGAGGAAAUAUCUGAGAGCUGCAUGAUCAGAAAAAAUAAUCACUUUAGUACCCAAUAAAUAUGAACAUAAUUUUUCUAAAGGAAAAACAAUACCCAAAAGUUCUUUUUCCGUUAUUGAGUAAUUGCACUGAGCACUAUCAAGUGUCAUUGAUGCGUAAUAUAUCACAUGAGCAGCUCUUCCAACCCUUUGUCCGAGAACAGCACCAACAGCAUAAUUACUGGCGUUGCACAUUAUCUCAAAAUGGAGGUUCCAGUCGGGUGGCUGUAUAAUUGGAGCUGAAGUCAAUAACUUCUUGAGCUUAUCAAAUGCUACCUUGCAUGCUUCAUUAAAAUCAAACGUCACAUCUUUCUAAAGCAGCUUGCAUAAAGACUGAGCUAUCUUUGAAAAAUCCUUGAUAAAACGUCGAUAGAAACCUGCGUGACCAAGGAAAGAACGAACUUCCCGUACACAUGUGGGAUAAGGUAAAGAUUUAAUAACAUCUAUCUUAGCUUUAUUUAUCUCAAUUCCUCUAGCAGAGACUACAUGACCCAAAAUAAUGCCUUGAUCUACCAUAAAAUGACAUUUUUCAUAAUUCAAGACAAUGUUUGUUUCAAUGCAUCUUUCAAGCACUUUCUUCAGAUUAUAGAGACAAUCAUCAAAAGAAUCAGCAUAGACUGUAAAAUCGUCCAUAAAUACCUCUAUAAUAUUCUCUACAUAGUCUGAAAAAAUAUUGACCAUGCACCUCUGAAAAGUGGCGGGAGCGUUACAAAGACCAAAUGGCAUACGUCGGUACGCAAAGGUUCCAAAAGGACAUGUGAAGGUAGUCUUCUCCGGAUCCUCAGGCGCAACUGGUAUCUGAUGAAAACCUCAAUAGCCAUCAAGACAAAAAAAGUAAGAUUUUCCUGCCAAUCUUUCAAGCAUCUGAUCAAUAAAAGGAAUAGGAAAAUGAUCCUUCCUAGUGAGUGAAUUAAGCUUUCUAAAAUCAAUACAAACCCUCCAUUCAUUCUGAACUCGGGUGGGUACUAACUCACCAUAAGAAUUCUCAACAAUUGUUAUACCAGUUUUCUUCUGUACCACUUGUAUCAGACUUACCCAUUUGCUAUCCGAAAUUAGAUAGAUUAUACAUGCAUCAAGAAGUUUCAGAAUUUCUUUAUUUACUACUUCCAUCAUGAGUGGAUUCAAACGGCGUUGAGCUUGAAUCGAAGGUUUGGCAUCUUCCUCCAGCAGUAUUCUGUACGGUACAGCAGAUACAAAAUUUAAAACAAACUCAUUUUCAUCAUUUUGCAAUCUUUUGAGGCCCAAACUGUUAUUUAAAGCAGCUACUAAUGAAUCUUCAACAUCCAAAUUAAAAACUUCCUGCACUAUAGGGUUAAUAACAUCCACAUAAAAUACUGAAUGUUCCUCACUAGGAUAUUUCAUGGCAUCAUUCAUGUUGAACUCUAUAACCUCUCCAUCAAACUCCAUAGUGUGAAUCCCUUUAUGUACAUCCAUUUUAGUCCUAGCAGUCUUAAGAAAAUGUCUUCCUAGCAAAAUUGGGAUAGAAUUAGAGGAGUUAUCCUCUUCCAGAUCAAGUACAUAAAAAUCAGUAGGAAAAACCAACUCAUUAACUUGUACUAAGACAUCUUCUAAUACCCCAUCAAGAUAUGCAUUAGACCUAUCAGCUAGUUGAAUUAUCACGCCGGUUUCUUUUAAUGGACCAAUAUUCAAAGAUGAAUAAAUGGAACGAGGCAUGACAUUAAUAGAAGCUCCUAGAUCUAACAUAGCCUUUUCAACUCUAACACUACCAAUUUUACAAGGGAUAGUAAACAUACCUGGAUCUUUGCACUUAGGAGGUAGUUUCUUUUGGAGAAUUGCUGAAACAUUCUCCCCCAUGUGAACUCUUUCAUCUCCUCUUAAUUUUCUCUUAGAGGUGCACAGUUCCUUAAGGAAUUUAGCAUAUCGAGGUAUUUGUUUUAUAGCAUCUAAUAAGGGAAUAUUUACCUCAACCUUGCGAAAUAUCUCAAGGAUGUCUUUCUCUUGUUCCUCCUUCUUGAAUUUUGCAAACCGGCUUGGAAAAGGAGGAGAUAUCACCACAGGUAGGGGUUUUGCUCUGGUGGGUUGUGCAUCUUGAGAUUUAGGCAUCAAUUCAUUCUUGUCAAGCUCAUCUUCUACAUGCUUUGUCACUUUCUUACUAGGCUCUUGCAACUCCUUCCCACUUCUAAGGAUGACAGCACUAGCAUUUUGAUUUGGAUUCACCUCAGAUUGUGAAGGCAAUCUCCCUGAUACUUGAGACUCUAGACGACUCAUUGUAGUCGCCAAUUGACUCAUUUGAGGCCUAACUCCAUAGCUGAAGUUGGGAUGAUCCUUCCAUCCCGGAUUGUAUGUUUGUGCAUAAGGAUCAUACCUCCUCUGAGGCAUGCCUAGAAAUCCUCCAACUGCAUUGGCUUGUUCAACGAGUUCUUCUUGAAGUGUAGGACACAUAUCAGUUGAAUGACCUAUAUUGGAAUAAAUGUCACAAGUCUUCACAUGUUGCACAUUACCUACAACAAACUUUUCCACAAGAGAAGUAAGUUUAUCCAAACGUUGUUCAACAGAAGAAAUAUUUACCUCAUUCACCUUCCUUGAAGUGGGAUCUUGCCUGCUGCCAAAUUGUUGUGCAUUGGCAGCCAUAUUUGAAAUCAACACCCUUGCUUGAGUAGGGGUCUUGUUCACCAACACACCUCCACUAGGAGCAUCUAUCAUACUCCUAUCCAUCAAUGACAGUCCUUCGUAAAAAUAUUGAAUAAGAAGUUGAUCACAAAUCUGAUGCUGAGGACAACUGGCACACAAUUGUUUGAAUCACUCCCAAUACUCAUACAAAGUCUCCCUAGGAAGUUGUCUGAUCCCACAAAUGUCUUUUCUGAUGUUGGCAGCUCUUGAAGCUGGAAAGUACUUCUCAAGGAACUGCUUCUUCAAACCAUUCCAUGUUGUAAUCGAUCUAGGAGGCAAGUAGUAUAACCAGCCUUUAGCUAGCCCAUCUAAAGAGAAAGGAAAAACACGCAGCUUAAUCUGCUCUUCAGUCACGCCUUGUGGCCUCAUACUUGAACACACAACAUGAAACUCCUUGAGAUGUUUAUGAGGAUCUUCACCUGCAAAAUCAUGAAACUUGGGUAAUAAAUGAAUAAGAUCAUACUUUAAUUCAAAAUUUACCUCCAAGUCUACAUAUUGAAUGCAGAGUAGUUGCUGAUUCAAGUCUGGUUCAGCUAACUCUCUAAGAGUUCUUUCUACAGGUGCAGCUCUAUCCAUCACUUGUUCUUCUGAAUCGCUAGAUGAUUCAACCAAAUUAGGUACCGUAUUUGUUUCAGAAAGCAAAGGCGACAAUGAUCGUUGCUUAGCUCGCUUCGUCUGCUGUCUCAGCUGGUGAGCUGUCUUCUCAAUUUCAGGAUCAAACGAAAGUGUACCUGUACGAGAAGAACGAACCAUACACCAAGUAAAACGUAAAAAGGAUUAAAUAAAUGACACCAAUCCCCGGCAACGGAGCCAAAAUUUGAUAGUUGUCGAAGCCAGCAAAAAUAAAUACCUACUCUAAAUAAAUUGUGUAUAGUGAUUGAGUAGGGUCGUGUCCACAAAGAUCGGUAAUUAUUUAAAUCCUUUUAAAAUAUAAAAUGCACAAUGGGGGAAUUGUUGACAAUAAUAAAAAUCAAAUUAAAAUAACAAGAACGCAAAUUAAAAUUGUAAUUCAAAUUGGGGAAAGCUCUGGUUGAAGGAAUUAACUCAGCUUGAUUCGACUACUGAUCAUUGAUUCAAAUAUAAAUUAUAACUACUUAUGAAUAGACCGGUUAUAGCUACUGAGACCCUCUAAUAGCCAAUCUCUCCUUAACUAGUCGAUAACCAAGGUACGACCGUUGGUUAUUUCCCUAAUCAAUAGACAACCCUAGAUACGAUCAUAGGAUUUAAUCAAUUGACAGCCUGAAAAACCAGAGAGACCCAAAUUGAAACGACCCGUCCCGCACCCCCAGGGUGAGUCUAUCUAAACUCAUAUAAUCGAAUCGAUAAUAAUUAUGAUAUUUAAGAGUUCUAUCAAAAAUUCGACAGAAUCUCCCCUAUAAAUAAAACAUUCCCAAACCUGCAAUUUACAAAACAAUACUCCCAAAAAUAACUCAAUAUCCAUUCAUCCUUUAUAACCAACUUCUCAAGUCAACAUACCAAAUAUCACCCAAAUCAUUCUAAUAUUAAAAUACAAUGGUUAUCCUUAAUUACAAAAUAUAACAAAUAAAUACAAUUCGCAAUAUCCCAAAUAUCAAAAUAUUAAAUCUACGACUUCUAGCACCAUCACGUGGCCACAAUUUCAAAUCUAACUAUCGUUGCUGGGUCGACUGAUGUACCUGCAAAUCUCCUGUAGGGGGAAAAAUAUAAUAAAAACGGUGUGAGUAUAAAACUCCGUGAGCUCAGUGAGUGGAUAGUAGUUUUUGAAAAAUAAAUUUAUUUAAAAUGAUUUAAUCUUUAUCAAAUCAAUUUCAUCAAAAUAUCAUAAGAACUUAUAUAAACAUAUUCAAUUCAAAUCAGUCACUGAAAUAACUAUAUUAUAUACAUCUGCAUAAAAUCAAUGAAAUCAUAAUACUUAUAAUAUCAAAUACUGAAUACCAAAAACUAUCAUCAAACAAGUACCCAGGGGAAUGAUCUCAUCAUAUCCGGACCUCGACGGACGGGCAAUCAGGGAACCAUCAUGCCCCGGAGCUACAACGGAUAGACGGGGAAAUCUCAUCUCAUAUCUCAUGUAUCUCAACAUUUGUAUCUCUGUAAUCAGCAUACUGCAUGCAUAAGCCCCUAAAAGGAAAAAGCGCCCAAACACUCGGCCCAAAGCCUCUAUGUGUGUUCAGAUGGGCCCCAAAUGCCUCUAUCUCAUCUCAUUUGUAUCUCUGUAUUCAUCUCGUAUUAUCUGUAUCUUUGUAUCUGGAGGGGAAGGGUACUGUCCAAUGAUUUUCCAAACAACAUUUAUACACAUGUACAUAAACAUAUAAUCACAUCUGAAAUCUCAUUUUCUUUUUAUUCAACAUAUCUCAAAUCCACUCAAUUCUAAUAUCAUGCAUUUACUCAAAAACGAUAAUAAAAUCAUUAAUCAACUCAUUCUUAAUAACAAUAAAUAUCAUUACGGAGAUAAAAAUCAAUUUUCUAGAAAAUCAUUAAAUCGAAGCAUCAAAUACUUAUUACCAAAACAUGUUGUACUGUAUGGUAAAAUCAUAAUAUACUAUGAAAAUAAGUUUUGUAUAUUCCACUCACAGUGACGAAGUCCACACUCGGUAUCUACAACGUCCGCGGGUUGAUUCUUGUUCGCGGAUCCUACUAAUCAAGGAAACGACAUAAUCAUUCUCCGUAAAUUUGAAAUACAACUAAUUUAACAUAAUAAUUCUCGAAACGAAUAUCUAUCCACAAUAAACUAUUCCCGCAUGCACAAAAUUACCAAAAUACCCCUACAUGCCAAAAUUACCUAAAUGCCCUCAACAUCAUUAUUUUACCAAAAUUAUCCUUAGAAUCUUCAAUUACUAAAUUGUCCUCAAUUCAGAUCAUGAAAUUACCAAUGUCAAAAAUUAUGAAAUUACCCUCGGAAUCUCAAAUUACCUCACUGCCCUAACCUAAAAUUACCAAAUUAUCCACUGAUUCCACAAAUUACAAAUUCACCCUAAAGUUUUAUGAAUUUACCGAAUUUCCCCUACCGGUCAACGGUGACCAGACUUCAGUCAACGACGACGAGAAGCUUAGGUCUGAUAGUUCAGACCUCGGUGAGUCCAACAGUGCCGGCGGUGACCUCCCACGUGCGGCGAUGGCAGCAGAUCGUGCUCCCAAAGCCGUGAGCUUUCCGGCGGUCGUUCACGGCCAAAAUGGAGGUUUUAAGUGGCGGGGUUGGUCGGAAAUGAAAGCUGGUGACGUGAGGAUAUAACCUUUACCAAAAGAGAAUAAUUGAGUUUAUUUAUAAAUAGCUUAUGAGUAUUUUUUUCUUUCGAACAAAAUAAUUUUAUUUCUGUUAAUUGUUGUUUCUCUAAUGGCUGGAUAUUGGCAGCUAAUUUUUUUUUUCUUUUCCAUGUAUUCAUAUGUAGAUUUGAUCAAUGUGUUUAAAGUGUUUAGUGGUCAGAUAUGGACAGAGACUAAUUUUAUGUAUUGAAUUUGGAUUAUUUAGUUAUGAGAGUAGGAUAUCUCAUAUUUUUGUUAUUGAAGUUUUGGAAUUUGUAAUAUAUACUAAUAAUAUUUAAAUGUGAAAUGAAAGAUUUUGUGAUAUAAAUCAAUUUCUUUUUGUUAUUUUGUGGUGCCUUUUAAUUUUACCAACAAAUCAAUAGGCAAUUAUCCAAUUCAAUUUUUUAUUUUUUAAAAUAAAUUAACUAGUGAUACCAUGGUAACAGUAAUCAUAGACACUAAUAAAAUAUCAAUAACUACUAACACUAUGGUGUCAUAAUAUCGGUGAUACUGUAGUAAUAGUAAUCACUGACACCACUUACAAGUGUCACUAUUUUUCUGACUCCCAGAUUACUGACACAAUUAACAAGUGUCAGUGAAAGUAAUUUCUGACACUAUUCUAAAGUCAGUAAAGACCAUUUUUCUAGUAGUGCUAGCUAAACCUGACAAAAGCAUUAGUAAUGUAGCCUCAUGUUUGAAGCACCAAACUGUUGCAUUAAGUGCAAUUGAGCUCAUUAGCCAAACCCGUCAUUUUCUCAGUGAUUAUGUUAUAACAAUUGUAUCACUUUAUUACUUUGUAAUUAUCUUAUAAUAUGUAUAAACUUUUAUUCUAUCAUCCUAAGAUGAUUUUUCAACUAAUCUUUAAGAUUUUAACUAUUUAUUUAUGUUGUUAAAUUAAGGCUACAAGCUUUAGAAGAAUUAUGACAUUUUUAACAUUAUUUAAUAAAAAUGUUAACACUUUUAUAUUUAGUAUUUUUUUAAGUACUAAUAAAUAUUAUUUUCUAAAUAUAUAAUUUAAAUUAAUCACAAAAAAUUAAUAUAGUACAAUAUAACACCAAACAUUGUACAACAUUAUUAUAAUACAGUGCUAAUACAAUACAUCUACAUUAAAAUAAUACAAUACAACAUAAUACAAUACAGUGUGCCAAAUGCACCCUAAGAUUAUACAGCAAGUCGAAUAUUUUAUUUUUCUUUUCAUUUUUGAGAAUGCCACCUAGUUGAGCUUGGAGAUAGUAAAAUCUCUAGUGUGAAAAACAUGCGAACUAAAAAUUAAACCCGCUCACAUAGAUCAUAAGGAAUUGAGUUCCAAUUAAGCUGAAUAAUAUCAAUAAUAACAAAAAAAAACUAUACAGGAUGUAGAGGCUUAUUAAAGCCAGGGUAUGUAAAAUUGUUGUGCUUCGAUUAAUUUUGAAAUCACAAUAGUUGUCAAUUGAAAAGCAACAACUGUUGGAGAAAAUUUAGUUUUUUAAAUUUUUAUAAAAAUUUUUAGGUCGAUAUAAUAUAACAUACAAGAAUUCGUAAUCUAGAAAUCGUACCUUAAAAAUCUGAGAAAAUGAACAAUCUUUGCUUUUUCCGCUGAAGUGAUAUAGGCUCCCAGGUCAAGAUCCGUCACCACCACUCCUAUUAGAUCACGAUCGAUCCGCUACUAUAGGGCUGAAAAACUCUUGAUAAUCUACUCCUUCAGUUUGUAAGAAAUCCUUUGCUACUAACUUCGCUUUAUAUCUAUUUAUUAUUCCAUCUGAGUUUUGUUUUACUCUAAAAAUCUAUUUAUUUCCCAGAAGUUUCAUAUUUUGUUCUGGUGGAACCAAACACCAGGUCUGAUUCUUUAUUAGAGCAUGAAACUCAUCCUGCAUGGCUAGCUUCCAGUUUUUAUCACUUAAAACUUCAGUAACACUUGAUGGUGUCUCUAGAGACAAUGCUUUUUCAAUAUUGUAGGCUUUAGGCUUAAAGAUUCCAACUUUGGCUCUAGUUAUCAUAGGAUGUGAAGGGUUGAGUUUAGGAAUCUGCUGUACCGUACAUCCGCCUUGGCCGUACAGCAGAGCUAACCUGGGGAUCAUUUGGGUACAUACAAUAGUGGCUACAAUAAUUAGGCCUGUAAUUAAACUAACACAAUUAUUUAAUUCCAAAUCUACUCUACUAAAAGAUUGGAAUUGACCUCCAUAAUUGUAUGCUAUCUAGGAUAGUGUUUUCGAUUAAUAAUUCGACCCAUGCCACAUUGAUUUCUUUACUGCACAAUCUUUUGUACCACAUCGUUAAUUAAAUUGAUAUCUCAACUGUCCAAUCAAUUUAAUUACAUCUUAUUCCUUUAUACUUACUGCUUUUCUCUAAUGAUCAUUUUCAACAUGCUAAAUAUGUUGACACACUCUGGCCAGAGAAUUCUAUGAUCAAGUGUCGAAAACUCAUCAAGAGAUGUGUUGUACAAAUUCUAUAUUGUUAAUCUAUAACUCCAAUACUCACAAUUGCUCCCACCAAGAUACCGGGUAAUCUUGACUACAAGUGUGUGUCUUGCCCAUUAGUAACUCAAAUGGAAUAAUAAUUACAAUCAUGAAAUUAUAACUAACUCAAGAUUAAGAUUACAGUAAAAUCAAUGCCUAUGAGAUUUAAUAAGUCUGACAGUCAUUUCAAGGUUAAUUAAAUCUCAUAUGUGAUCUAGCUCAAUGUAGUCAAACUAUAUCAUUAAAUUCAUACAUGAUUAAAAAAAAAUCAUUCAAUGAAUUUACUACAGUCUAAACAUAAAUAAAGCGUUCAACUCUAUUUAUCCACUACGAACUUAAUUUAUUUAAUCAUAAGAUAACUUAUAUUUAUGUCUUCUGUGAAUUCAUAUGAUGAUCAUAUAAAUAUGUAUAAUAUGAUUAAACAGACCUUAUUCAAAAUAUUUAUGCAAUUGAAAAUAUCUCAAAUAUUUUAUUAAUCAGAAAAUAAAUUAAUUAAUAUGCUUUAAAGAGCAUAUAAUCCCAACAACAACACCUCAGUCUCAAAUGUAUAUAUAGUCUUCAAAUAUCAGAGUAAAAAACCACAAAUUCAAUAAAUUAAAAACUAAAUUUUGUGCUAAUUAUAUCCCUACUUUGGUAAAUAAGUUGAUGAUAAUUAUUCAUGCCUGACUAUGAUCGGAAUCUAAAUAAAAACAACUACACGCUAUGAUUGUAAUCUAAAUAAAAACUACUGCAUGCUAAUAGGGGAAAACACUAUUACAACUCUCUCAAUCUGUCUAAACUAAUUUCAAGAAACUUGCCUCGAACUGGAUUAGAAAUGGGGUUGAAUGGGCUUAACUCGGUUGGGCAGAUUGAUUUUCACUUCCAAAAUGUUUAUGAAUAUCCUUGAAUGAUACCGUGGCAGAUCCCCUUCUUUUUGGUUUUGGUUGUGAAUAAUGUUCCCUCCAUCCUGUCAUGUAAAUCGCCUGCAAAUCAAAUACACCAAUGUAUUAUAAAGUUAAAGAAAUUUUCUUUUCCCAAAACAUCAUUACACGACAGCUCAGAUUGAGUAUUUAUGAUAUUGAGGCCUAAGACUGUCAAGACACCAACUCAUACUAACUUAUGAUAUGCCAAAUUCAAUCUGCCAAAAAUUCGCACACGUUUCAUGCUCUCAGCUGCAAACUGCUGUACCGUACAUCCGCCUUGGCCGUACAGCAGUGACGUUAGGGGCAUUAUUUUAUGUAAUUAAAAAUAUUUUCUGAAGGAAGAAGUUGAAUAAGUUCACCUGGAAGGUUGCAGGGAUGGAGCCAUCUUCUGCUGCAAACAUGGAAUCAUAUAUAGCGGCUGUUGCAUGGGCUGUUUCUCCAUUUAGGAUCUGAUUCAUUGAUGAACACAACGAAUUUCCAAAUAAGAAUUGAUAAAUAAGCUCGAGUUCCUCUUAUAACAUGUGAUUAUUCUCUAAUGGGGAAAGAGCUUCGUAGUCAUCCCAGAAGAAAAAGGAACAUCAUUAUCCAUGAAAGAAACCAUACUUUAUUCCUUUGUAGAAGAGCAUUGGUUUCACCCAUCGCACGCAGAUGUUCUAUCAGCUCCAGUGCUACACCAAACAGAGAGCAAUAAGAAGAGAAGGUGGUGAACGAGCGAAUGACUAAGCAGUCUUAACAUAGAUAACAGAUAUGUAAGAAAUUCAAUACUAACAACUCCUCCACCCCCUCCUCUGAAACCAUCAAAAUUUGUAUUUUCUUUUUAUUUUAAAAAAUAGAAGGGCAAAUAAAUACGCCGUAUUUAUACGCAUACUACUUCGUAUGUCACAUAUAUUUCACACAAGGACUGAUAUCUGAACUUCAAUACUGGUUAUAUAUGGAAGAUAGCAAGAAAAAUUUACAAGCCACAUCUCUAAUCAAUCUAUAAAAUAUUGGAAAUGAGGGGUGAGCCGUCAACUCGGUAAGCAAAUCCAUGCAUAAUAUUUGAAAACCUUGUCAUUUUACCUUUAAACAUUUUAUAACAUCUUCAUCUAGCACAAGGGGUGAAUUCAUGUAAAAGUAUUAAAAAUAUUAAAACGUUCAUAAAAAGAUUAAAACAUAAAUAUUAGUAGCUCAUGUCUCGUAGUCAUUAUCAUUCAUCACUCAUCAUUUAGGGUGUUAUACCCUGCAUUGUUCCUCAUUCAGGGUACUAUACCUCACAUUGUUCAUAACAUCCUUGUGCACAAGAUCAUCAUCAUACCAGCAAGCUGGCCAUAGCAUUACAUAACAUCAUAAUAUUAGCAUCAUUUACAUUACUACGGACUAUGAGCCAAAACAUUUUUUAAUCCACCUUACAUUCUUUCAUAAAUAGCAUUUAAAGUUUUCUAAAACAUUUAAGAACCUUUCUUUGAUCAUUUAAUUCUUUUGGAAAAAUUUUUAAGGAAACAUUUUGUUUAAGAAAACUAAUUUCUUAAGAAAAUUUCAUUUUAAAAUUUACUUAUAUAAAUUCAUUUAAAAGUGUUUUUAUUUUACAAAAUUCAUUUAAAUAUUUUAGAAAAUAGUUUUGUGAAAAUUUCCAUUUAAACAUAAUUCUUAUAACAUAAAUUGCAUUUAUUAUAAAACACAUCAUCCAUGAAUCUACUUACCUUGAUCCACAGCAAUCAACUCAAUACCUUAAGAACAAACCAACGAGUUCACCCACGUCCUUAAGGCAAACACCAAGCAAAGAAAUUAUAAAACUUUCUUUUUCUUCUCCAAAGGCUUAUGUUUCCUUUUUUUUCUAGGGUUUGUAACGGCGUAGAAAAUAAAAGACGGCUUCCUUUGGCUUCCUCUUAAAUACUUGGUAAUUAAUAAAUAUUUUUUUAUAAAAACUAAUAACUUACGUAACUUAUUUAAAGUAAUUUGAUAAAUUUUACUCACACACACUCGAUAAUAACUAUCCUACCCAAUUUAAUAAGGGUAAAAGAGGAAACAAAAAUAAAAGUGGGCGUUACAGUACCUGUGCUAAAGGUGAUACCCAUGGACUGAUGCCUCCUUCACGCUCCAUUUGAGCAACAGUGCAAGCUAUUCUCACUUCCCUGGUCAUCAGGACAGUCAAGUUGGAAAAAUCAGUAACAUAAGUCAUGUCUCAGAGCAUGAACUUGAUUUAAUUGAAAUAACGGUGACAGACAUACACGUAUAGAGGAGUUUCACAAGUUACAACCUUGGCGCCUGUCGGAAUCUCAAGGUCUUCUGUGAAACCCUUCCAUUGUUUUUCAAAAUUUAGUUUGAGGAGGAUACAAACCUUGGCCCUGGUGAUGCUAUCAUCAGCAAGACAAAGCUUGUCCGUAUCAAAAUGCUCAGCAGUGGUCAGUACAGGCCUAGCACGUGGCCCAGCACGUCCAAUUGCCUUCUUCUUAUUCGAAAUUUACCCUCAUGGAUUAAAACAAUUGAUCAUACACACAACAUGUUUGGUUCCUUUUGUCGACAAAGUACAUGGAUAUAUAAUCCCAGUUCAGCAGCCUUUCAUUGUCGGCAAUUUCUUGUAUGUUGAUCAUUCGUGCUCGGUGUACCAAGUGUUUUUUUCGGUACCAUGUGUGCCAUAUGAAUUCCAUCCAUUAGACUAUUCUUGAAAUCUUCUGCAACUCCUGGUUGUUUCAAUAGCUUUUCUAAUUGAAUACACAUGGCUCUAAUUAAAACGACCUUAUAUUUACAGCCAUUUAGCCUCCCAUCACAUGUUGGGUUAUGAACGUCCUGUAGAAAGUUUGCACCACCACAAGGUACAAAAUCAUUAUUUUUUUCUGCAGCAUGAUUAUUUUUACAACUGGGUAUGAAUUUGGGAUCCUGAGGGAUUUUUCGGAACUCAAACUUUCGAACAAUCGGCUGCAUGCUAUUCUUAGCCAACAGAAACAUGGGGAUUUUGUGGAUCUCAUAAUAGAGCUAGAGAAAGAGGGUUUCGAACUAGCCUACUUAAUCUUUUCUUAGUUUUAAAAGGCGGGUAGGGUAGCUGGGUAAGUUUAUUAAUUAUUUAUCCCUAAGCAUAUUAUUAUAAUAUAUGUAAUUGGGCUUGUAUCCCAUCAUUAUCGGUGCUCUUUGAGAGAAUUUUAGAUCAUAUUGAGUAAUGAAUUGUAACUAUUUUAUUGAUCUUAACAAUGUACAACUUUGAUAGUAUUUAUAGUUGUACAGCUCAGAAUCCAGCUCAUCAAUUUCGUUUUACAAAUUAACAAACUCAAGUAAAGUGUGUAUGUUAUGAUUUGAUCACAGCCGUUCAUUCAUAACUAAUUUACUACAUCACAUAACAGCUGUAGAAUCUCUGUAUAAUUGUUAUGCCAUAUGGAAUAUUCUUGAAAUUCUAGUAGUGCAACCCAAGAGGGGGGGUGAAUUGGGAUUCUAAAAAAUUAUUCAAUUCUAAAACAAAAUAUCAUGCAAAUCUAAAAACGAAUUUAAAGCAAUAACAAUUAAAUCAAUCACAAUAUAAAAAGAUAAGGGGAGAGAGAUUCAAACACGAAGAUUUUUACGUGGUUCGGCCAACCUCGCCUACGUCCACUCCUCCAAGCUUUCCGGGCUUGAGGAUUUCACUAAGCAAGCCUCCAAGGCUUCAAAUGCUUACACUUGACUUCCAAGGUGUCAAUGAACCUUUACAACAAGAGAUUAUUCCCAAUCUCUUAACCCAAGUGUAUCCCAACACUUACAAUCACUCAAAGUAAAAGAUUACAAAUUGUUUUUCCCUCACACAAUAUUUAAGAUUACAAAUCAAUGCCCAAUGUGUGAAUAGAUGAAGCAAGAAUGUGUUCAAAGCUCUAUGAAGAUUGUAUUCUCGAGUAUAAGCUCAAUAGUUGUGUUGUGAUCAAUCUUCUUUGAAUUUGAAUGAGCUUAUUUAUAUUUGGAGCUGAAAAACUAGCCGUUUCAAGCUGUCGGCCCAAAAACGGUUUGCCGUUAACCAUUAACGGUUAACCGUUUAGGCUGGUCAAAAUUUACCGUUGGGCCAAAUUUCAAAUAAACGGUUUGCCGUUUCGGAUUACCCUUUCGCCGUUAAAUUCCAGAGACCUGCAAGAUGAACAUCAGUUAUCCGUUUACAUUAAACGGUUAAGGAUUUGCAUGAAGUGACCUCUCUGGAUAUUAUCGGUUCACCGUUUGUAAUAAACAGUUUGCCGUUUGUUUCCAGUAACCUGCAAAGCAAUUUAGCCUUAUCCGGCUUUGUUAAACGGUGCCAAAAGAGUAUAACCUUCUAUUCUGGAUUUUAUCGGUUAACCGUUUAUAAUAAACGGUUCACCGGUAAAUUCCAGUAGCCUUCCCAGCUUUAUGUUUUCCGUUUUUCUUAAUCGGUUAGAGCACCUUCCCAGCUUUGUGUUUUCCGUUUUUCUUAAUCGGUUAGAGCUUAGGCAAAAUGUUGCUCUCUGGUUUUAAUCGGUUAACCGUUUGAAAGAAAAUGGUUCACCGUUUAUUUCCAGAAUCAUAUUUUAAACCAGAUUUUGUAGAGAGUCAUUUUCUAAUUUGAAAGUCCAUCUUUUAAGAGAAUGAUUGGAAUGAUUUUAAGGCUUUCAUUUAUUAAGGAAUGGCUCCAACAUUUUAAUCAAAAACCAUUUAAAGUUUGUUAUUAUCAAAAUCAAUAAUAUUAACAUAUUCAUGUUAACAAUCUCCCCCUUUUUGAUGAUGACAAACUUCAUUCAAUAUUUUGCUCCCCCUUAAUAUAUGCUCCCCCUAAAUGUAUGGCCAAAUUGAGAAGUGUCCAAUAAAAAGAUUUUUGCUCAAGAAAACAUUUUUGAAUUCAUUUUAAAUCUCCCCAUAAUUAUCUCCCCCUUCAUCAUCAAAAAGAAAAGAGAGAAAGGAAAACCGCUAAUCUUGUGAAAGAAGUUACCCGGUUUUAGCGAGCGAAAAUUUUGGCAGAGUUUCCCCUUAAAAUGGAGCAAAACCAUUAAUACAAAAGGAGAUUAAACACUUCCAAAAUAGAUUUACAACAACUCCAUCAUCCAACAACGCCAUGAACAAUCAAACCAACACUUCAUUAACCAAUAAACCAACAAUCUCAUCAACCACUAUCAAGACAUCCAACAUCAAGAACAUCACAAAAACAUGUCAUCAAAAGCCAUAAAGAGCACAUAGAGGUAGCAGUGUAUAUAAAAAUAUAAAUGGCAACACACAAACAACCAAGAUAUGAAAUGUAUGUGCGAAAAUAGAACUCAGAAACUAUGGAGGUGGAGAAGAUGUGCUCCCCGGAUCAUAACCGAAAUAGCUGAGAAGAGUGCGAUGUCUAGCGAUAAGCUCAAGCUGCUGAUCAAUGCUCUGCUGCUGGAAGGUCUGAAAGUCAGAACGUAGCUGCUGCUGGUCAAGGGAAAAAGUGUCCAACCGAUCAAGAAUCAACUGCUGGCGCUCUGAAAUCCGGUGAACAUCAGCAAUCAACUGCUGUACAAUGUCUGAAGCAGGGGGCUGAACUGGAGCUGGAGGCGGCAUAGAAGCAGAUGGCUGCUCAGGAACAGUAGAUGGCUCAGGAGCAGGAGGCGGCUCGGAAGAUUAGGGAAUGUCAGCAUCCAUCGCACACUCCUCGGAAUCAGAGUCAGUUGGAGGCUGAGGGACAAAACGGCGACGCGGAGGAUGAGGAUGAGCUCCUAAUCUAAAGUCAGGACGCUGAUCGGGAGGAUAGAUAUCGUUGAGCAUCCGAUCGUCCUCUGGAGCAAUCAAUGUAUCCCGGUUUUUGGAGUUGCUUGUCUUUAUCCACACUCCAUUCUUCCUAGAAAAACUGAUACUAGUCAUGGCCUCGGGACCAAUCCGUCUAGUCUCUAUAUGACCGGUAUCAAGAAGAGGCACCUCAAAGCGUCGCAGUAUCUUAGUAAUGAUACUACCAUAAGGAAGCAAGCGGUGGUUAACCGUAAGAGUACUCAACAUGUGUCACAAAAUAACAUACCCAAGGUUAAUGGGAUGAUUUGAGAGUAGGCUAUCGAGUAGGCCAACGUCCAACCUCGUAACCUCAUCCGAGUGACCCUUCUUGGGUGUCACUAUGUGCUGUAAAAUAGUGUGAAGAAUGCGAACUUGGAGAGUACUCAACAUGUGUCGCACAAUAACAUACCCAAGGUUAAUGGGAUGAUCUGAGAGUAGGCUAUCGAGUAAGCCAACGUCCAACCUCAUAACCUCAUCCGAGUGACCCUUCCUAGGUGUCACUAUGUGCUGUAAAAUAGUGUGAAGAAUGCGAACUUGGAGAGGUAGAAGUUGAGACCAAAAAGGAAGUAAACAAAUCUCAUCAGACAAGUCUCGACGACGACAUAUAUUACGGACUCCAUCAGUAUGACAAAAACUGUCAAAGAAAAGGGCUUUCCUAGAAGUGUAAAUAUCAUGCCCCUCACUAGAGAUACCAAGAAAGUCAGCUAGGUCCGCAUCAUCAAACUCUAUAGGUACACCGCCGACUUGAGUAACUAUCCUAUUUAGGCGAAUGGCGGAGAUUUCCAUAUUCAAAUAAAAUACUCGCACUAAAUUGGGAUAAACCCGGUCAUCAAAGUCUAUGGCAGACUCCCAAGGCUGAAGCAUAUCCUGAAUGCUUCUACCAUAUACAACUAAGUUACUGAAAUCUUCAAUUUCAACAUAGAAGGAGUCAAGUACCUUUCGUCCAUCGAAGCGAUCCUAGAACCGCUUGGCCAAGGAAGGCGUGGGAAAAUGAAUUCUUGCAAAUUCAGAGACUUCCCGUGGUGGUAUAGGAUUCCUUGGAGGCACAGAUUUUCGCCUGAGAUUUCUCUGAGGGGGUGCAGCCAUGGAGAAGUACAACGGAGUGUGGUGAGGUGUGUUGAGAAGAAAAUGAAUUAAUGAUUUGCUGAGGAAUAAGUAGAGGAUGUGAUUUUGAUGCUCAAUUUGGUUAAAAAAGCGAAAAAUCGGAUUGAAAACGAAGAAACCCGACCCGCGGUAGUUAGGGUUUAGAUUUGGAAUUUUUCAAUUUUGGGAUUGAUUUGAAGUUUUGAAUCGGUUAAAGUGUUCUAAAAGUGAUAAGAAAUUAUGUUGUAGGUUUGAUUUGGCAAGAAAAGCAAGAAAAAUGAGGAUUUGAGGGCUGAGGAACCUUCGGCUGCGCAACAAUGGCCGAAACGGUGAAAGGGUAACUGGAGAAGGAGAAGGAGAAGAAAAAACCUUUGAACAGUUUUAUAAUCGCGAAAAUGGUUAACCGUUUAUUUAAACGGUUAAGGGGUAACUUCCAGAGGCUAGAGAGUUGGCAACGGAGAAAGCUUAAGCACUUAACGGCUAAGGAGUAACUGUUAGAGGACUCUCUGUUUUUAAACGGUUUACCGAUUGCGUCAAACAGUGAAAGAGUAAAAAGACAGACACAUAAUCUCGUUUCUGGAAUAAAACGGUUCACCGUUUAUUGAAAACGGUUAUCCGUUUAUUUUAUCUAUAAUUUCGCACAUUUGAUUUAAUUUUUGGCCAGCAAAUAAUACAUUCCAAUAUCAUUUAACUUAUCUAAAAUGUUUUAUGAGCCAUUUUAAUGCAUGAUUCAUGAACAUGUAUUCAAGCAAUUAAUUCAUAUAAUCAAUCAAGAAUUAACAAAGCAAAUACUUCAUUUGAAUAUCAAGCUUGAGCAUUUCUUAAAUAUUAAAUCACCAAUAAGUCAAUCAAUUCAGUACACUCAAUAGCAUGAAUAGAGACGUUAAUACGAAAAUUUCAUCAUCCCAAGUUCAUGCCGAAUUUUCGAAAAUUGUUCUUCGCCAAAGGGUUUGGUAAAAAUAUCGGCGAGUUGUUUUUCUGUAGAAAUAAACUCUAAUGCAAUAUCUCUCUUUUGAACAUGAUCUCUCAAGAAAUGAUGUUUUAUUUCUAUAUGCUUGGUUCUAGAGUGUUGAAUGGGAUUCUUUGAAAGAUUUAUAGCACUAGUAUUAUCACACUUAAUAGGAAUUUGUUCUAGGUUAAUACAAUAAUCUCUAAGUGUUUGUUUCAUCCAAAGAGCUUACGCACAACAACUUCCUGCAGCUAUAUAUUCAGCCUCGGUAGUUGAAAGUGCAACAAAAUUUUGUUUCUUGCUAAACCAUGAAACAAGUGAGUGACCUAAAAUAUAGCAAGUUCCACUAGUGCUUUUCCUAUCAAUUUUAUAACCGGCAAAGUCCGCAUCCGAAUAGCAUGUUAAAUCUAUAUGAGUUCCCCUAGGAUACCAAAGUCCAAUAUCUAUGGUUCCACUUAAAUAACGAAAAAUUCUUUUAACAGCAAGCAAAUGGGAUUCCUUGGGACAUGAUUGAAAUCUUGCGCACAAGCAUACACUAAACAUGAUAUCGGGUCUACUUGCAGUUAAAUAAAGUAAAGAUCUGAUCAUACCUCGAUACAUUUUGAUAUCCACUUCUUUGCCUUUUUCAUCUUUGUCGAGCUUGGUGGUUGUGAUCAUUGGUGUAUUUUUGGUCUUUGAGUCAUCAAUGCCAAAUCUUUUGAGUAGAACUUUUACAUACUUGGCUUGAUUUAUGAAAAUUCCUUCCUCAUUUUGUUUUAUUUGUAGUCCAAGGAAGUAUUUCAACUCUCCCAUCAUACUCAUUUCAAAUUCAUUACUCAUCCAAGAUGAAAUUCUUGACACAACAAUUCAUUAGUAGAACAAAAAAUAAUAUCAUCAACAUAAAUUUGAACAACAAGUAUGUCUUUGUCCUUAUGUUUAACAAAGAGAGUAGUAUCCGCUUUACCCAUGGAAAAAUCAUUUUCUAACAAGAAAUUUUUAAACCAACAUACUAUGCUCUAGGUGCUUGUUUUAAUCCAUACAAGGCUUUAAACAACUUAUAAACAUGAUUUGAAAGUUUUUCAUUUUCAAAACCAGGGGGUUGUUUUACAUAGACUUCUUCCAUAAUAUACCCAUUUAAGAAAGCACUUUUCACAUCCAUUUGAAAUAAGAUGAAAUCUUUAUGACAUGCAAAUGCCAACAACAUUCUAAUUGAUUCUAGUCUAGCAACGGGUGCAAAAGUUUCAUCAAAAUCAAUUCCUUCUUCUUGGUUGUAACCUUGAGCCACUAAUCUAGCUUUAUUUCUUACAACCACACCGAAUUCAUCCAUCUUAUUUCUAAAUAUCCAUUUAGUACCUAUGACGGAUUGAUGUUCCGAUUUAGGAACUAAUUCCCACACAUUGUUUCUUUCAAAUUGAUUUAAUUCCUCUUGCAUUGCCAUAAUCCAAGAUUCAUCAUUUUCCGCAUCCGCAAAGGAUUUGGGUUCAAUUUGAGAAAUAAAUGCANNNNNNNNNNNNNNNNNNNNNNNNNNNNNNNNNNNNNNNNNNNNNNNNNNNNNNNNNNNNNNNNNNNNNNUAAGUGAUGAUCUAGUUGUGAUACCUCUUGAAGGAUCACCUAAUAUUACAUCUUUAGGGUGAGAAGAAACAUACCUCCACUCCUUGGGGAGUGUUUGAGAAGUACCUUCAUGUUGCUCCAUAUUUGUUUGCUCUUCUUGUUUAUCAUCUUGAUUUUCUUGUGGUGCAUUCUCUUGAUUCUCUGUUGACAAUUCUUCUUGUAGCUCUCCAUCUGCAUCAUCAUUAGCAACUCAUUUCUCCGUAGAGGAGGAGUUAGAUUCAUCAAACGUAACAUGCAUGGAUUCUUCCACAACUAAAGUUCUUUUAUUAUAAACUCUAUAAGCUUUGCUUGAGUUUGAAUACCCGAGAAAGAUGCCAACAUCAGAUUUUGGAUCAAAUUUACCAAGAUUAUCUUUUGUGUUUAAAAUAAAACAUUUGCAUCCAAAAACUUUGAAAUAGCCAAUGUUGGGUUUUCUAUCUUUCCAAAGCUCAUAGGAAGUUUUAUUGAGAUGAGGUCUAAUCAACACCCGAUUUAAAACAUAACAAGCGGUGUUGACGGCUUCGGCCCAAAAAUAUUUUGAUAAAGCAUUUUCAUUUAACAAGGUCCUAGCCAUUUCUUGAAUAGACCUAUUCUUUCUCUCAACAACUCCAUUUUGUUGUGGAGUCCUAGGUGAUGAAAAUUGAUGCUCAAUGCCAAGAUUAUUGCAAAAAAAUCUCAAAUGCAUGAUUUUCAAAUUCUCCUCCAUGAUCACUUCUAAUACAUGCAAUCCCAUACCCUUUUUCAUUUUGAAUUUUCUUACAAAGUACUUUAAAAGCAUCAAGAGCAUCAUCCUUAUUAGAUAAGAAUAAUACCCAUGUGUAUCUUGAAAAAUCAUCAACAAUUACAAAAGCGUAAUAUUUUCCAUUCAAGCUAGCAUACCUUGAAGGUCCAAAUAAAUCUAUAUGAAGUAAUUGAAGUGGUUUUGAAGUAUAAAUAUGAUUUUUGCUUUUAAAAGAGGUUUUGAUUUGUUUACCAAAUUGGCAUGCUUCACAAAUUUUAUCCUUUUGAAAACCAAUUUUUGGAAGACCUUUAACUAAAUCAUUUUUGGAAAUCUUUGAAAUUAAAUCCAUGCUUGCAUGUCCUAACCUUCUAUCCUAUAACCAACUAUCAUCAUGCAAUGCGAAAAGUAUUUAUCAAGAGUAGAUGCACAUUCUAUGUCAAUGAUAUAAACAUUACCACAUCUAUUCCCAACAAACAAGAUCUUGCCAUCACAUAAUUAAGUUGUGUUUCAAGUUCUCAACCAAACAUACAUUUUCAAUUAAAGUUGAGGAAACUUUACCAACAUUUCCAAUUCCAAGAAUUUUUCCUUUUGAGUUGUCUCCAAAAGAUACGUCUCCACCAUUUUCAAUUUUGGUGAAGCUUGAGAACCAUGCAUAGUUUCCGGUCAUGUGCCUUGAACAACCACUGUCCAAGUACCAUUUGUUUUUCUUCUUCUUCAAUCCCUACAAAGAAAAUCUCAAGUUUUAGGUACCCAAAGCUUUUUGGGUCCCUGAGAGUUAGCAAUGGUUCCUUUUGGAACCCAAAUACAUUUGACACCAUAAUAUGCAUUCCUUUUCACGGGACAUCUAUAUUUCAUGUGACCGUUUUGAUUACAAUAAUGGCAAACAAUCUUAUGAUCACUUGUGGAGGUAGCUUGAACAAAAUAAUUCUUAUAAUACUUUUGCUUCAAGUUAGGCUUAUACCCAAGUCCUCCUUUGUCAAAAACACAUUUUUGUGAGUUAAGCAUAUUAUCCAACAUCUUUUUCCCAUUUGUAAAUUUCAAAACAAUCUCAUUCAACUCAUUGCUCUUUUUCUUAAGCAUUUCGUUUUUAUUUUUCAAAUCAUCUAUGUGUGAUUCUAAAUGCUCAUGUGAGAUGCUAGGUUUCUCAUUUGAUAAUGCAAUUUCAUCAUGCAAUGCUUUGUUCUCUACUUCUAGACAUGUAAUUUUCGCAUUUAGAGAUUCAUUUUCAUUUUUAAGCUUUGCCAUUUCCUUUUUAAGACAUACAUUCUUUUUACCAAACUUCAUCAACUCAUUAUGCAAUUCUUUAAAAGUAUCAUACAAUUCAUCAUAAGUGGGAUCACUUACCUCAUUGAGAUUGUCAUCCUCUCCUAUUGCCAUAAGCGCUAGAUUUGAUACUUCUUGCAACAUGGCUUUCUUCUUGAGGUUGUUGAUAAGUGGGCAUUCCGAUCUUAUAUGGCCAAGCUUCUUGUACUCAUAACAUGUGAUUACCUCUUUCUUUUCCCUUUGGUUCUUGAAGUUUCUGAAUUUUCUUCGCUCUCCAGUUUUCUUGAAAAACUUUCUGAACCUCCUUGCUAGCAUGGCUAACUCCUCAUCAUCUGGUUCACUAUCUCCAUCACUCUCAUAUUUUGAAGCUUUAAGAGCAAUACUUUUCUUCUUCUCCUCAUCCCCUUUUUCUGCUGCCAAGUCUUCUUCAUAUGAAAUGAGAGAACCAAUUAAAUCAUCAAGAGGUAAAGUAUUUAAAUUUUUGGCCUCUUCAAUGGCGGUUCUUUUAGGUCUCCAUUCUUUUGGAAGUGACCUAAUGAUUUUCUUAACUUUCUCACUAUUUGAGAAGGUCUUCCCUAAGACACCUAGGGUGUUUACUAUGUCCGUGAAUCUAGUAUACAUAGAAUACACACUUUCAUUUUGCUCCAUUUGGAACAACUCAUAUUGACGAGUGUAUCUACUAAUUUUAGACUCUUUAACUUGAUUUGUCCCUUCAUAGACAACUUCAAGUUUAUUCCAUAUUUCUUGUGCACUUUCACAACUAGAUACUCUAUGGAAUUCUUUCUUAUCAAGAGCACAAAAUAAAGCAUUCAUAGCCUUGGAGUUUAAGGACAUUUUUCUCUUUUCUAACUCACUCCAUUGACUUGAUGGUUUAGGAAUAGCAUCUCCUACUUCAUCUUUAAACAUAGGCAUGAAUGGACCAUCACAAACAACUUCCCAAAUUUCAUAAUUUAAGGCUUGCAAAUAGAUUUUCAUUCUAGUUUUCCAAUAGGCAUAUUCAUUAUCGUCAAAGAACGGUGGUCUAGUUGUGGAUUGCCCUUCUCUAAAGGUUGAGUCAUUUAUGGUUGCCAUGGAUCUUUUACUCUAGACGAUUAAGUCCUAACAAGAGAACAAGGCUCUAAUACCAAAUGAAAUUCUAGUAGUGAACAAGAGAACAAGGCUCUAAUACCAAAGAGUUAAUAAUAAUCAAGUUGUUAUUGAAAUACAAGUAUGCAACCCAAGAGGGGGGGGUGAAUUGGGAUUCUAAAAAAUUGUUCAAUUUAUUAAAGAAAAUCUUAAUGCAAUUAUAAAUCAAAUUCAAAAUCAAUAACAAUUAAGAUGAUCACAAUGUAAAAACAAUUAAAUCAAUCACAACAAACACGAAGAUUUUUACGUGGUUCGGCCAACCUCGCCUACGUCCACGCCUCCAAGCUUUCCGGGCUUGAGGAUUUCACUAAGCAAGCCUCCAAGGCUUCAAAUGCUUACACUUGACUUCCAAGGUGUCAAUGAACCUUUACAACAAGAGAUUAUUCACAAUCUCUUAACUCAAGUGUAUCCCAACACUUACAAUCACUCAAAGUAAAAGAUUACAAAUUAUUUUUCCCUCACACAAUAUUUAAGAUUACAAAUCAAUAUCCAAUGUGUGAAUAGAUGAAGCAAGAAUGUGUUCAAAGCUCUAUGAAGAUUUUAUUCUCGAGUAUAAGCUCAAUAGUUGUGUUGUGAUCAAUCUUCUUUGAAUUUGAAUGAGCGUAUUUAUAUUUGGAGCCGAAAAACUAGCAGUUUCAAGCUGUCGGCCCAAAAACGGUUCGCGGUUAACCAUUAACGGUUAACCGUUUAGGCUGGUCAAAAUUUACCGUUGGGCUAAAUUUCAAAUAAACGGUUUGCCAUUUCGGAUUACCCUUUCGCCGUUAAAUUCCAGAGACCCGCAAGAUGAACAUCAAUUAUCCGUUUACAUUAAACGGUUAAGGAUUUGCAUGAAGUGACCUCUCUGGAUAUUAUCGGUUCACCGUUUGUAAUAAACGGUUCGCCGUUUAUUUCCAGUAACCUGCAAAGCAAUUUAGUCUUAUCUGGUUUUGUUAAACGGUGCCAAAAGAGUAUAAUCUUCUAUUCUGGAUUUUAUCGGUUAACCGUUUAUAAUAAACGGUUCACCGGUAAAUUCCAGUAGCCUUCCCAGCUUUGUGUUUUCCGUUUUUCUUAAUCGGUUAGAGCUUAGGCAAAAUGUUGCUCUCUGGUUUUAAUCGGUUAACCGUUUGAAAGAAAACAGUUCACCGUUUAUUUCCAGAAUCAUAUUUUAAACCAGAUUUUGCAAAGAGUCAUUUUCUAAUUUGAAAGUCCAUCUUUUAAGAGAAUGAUUGGAAUGAUUAUAAGGCUUUCAUUUAUUAAGGUAUGGCUCCAACAUUUUAAUCAAAAACUAUUUAAAGUUUGUUAUUAUCAAAAUCAAUAUUAUUAACAUAUUCAUGUUAACAAUUCUUCCUCUGCACGUGUAGAUUACAUAACUUCACUUGUGUGAGCAUCUUCCUUGGUUAACAAGUAAACUCCAGCUGGAAUCCCCACGUGAGUUUAUCCAGAUUCAGCUUUAUUCUCAAACUUAAGAUCCCUUCUAAAACUUAAGUCUCUAUGAGAGACUUUAAGUUUGUUUCUGAAUAAGCUGAACUUGGAGUAAGUGAGUGGCUUGGUCAACACAUCUGCUGUUUGAUCAUUGCUAGAUACAAAAGCAAUUUCAAUUUCUUUCUUCUCAACUUUAUCUUUGACAAAAUGAAUGUCUAUCUUAACAUUUGUUAUCUUAGAAUGAAGAACUGGGUUUGUGGCAAUUGUGGUUGCACUUGUACUGUCACUUAACAACAUAGGAGUGUGGUUUAGUUUUACACCCAAUUCUUUCAGUAAUGAACAUAUCCACGUUAUUUUUGCACUAGCUAAUGCCAUAGCUCUGUAUUCAUAUUCAGCUGAUGAUUUUGAUACCACACGUUGCUUCUUUGAACUUCAACUAAUCAAAUUGUCACCCAAGUAUAUACAAUAACCACUAGUAGAUCUUCUAUCAUCAAGAUCACUUCCCCAGUCAGCAUCUGAGUAAGCUAUUAGAUCAAGGGAAUCAAAUUUCUUGAAAAUCAGGCCAUAGUCAACUGUUUCCUUUAGAUAUUUGAGUACCCGUUUACAAGCUAUCUAGUGUGGCUGCAGAGGAUUAGCCAUAAACUGACUUAACUUGUUUACUGCAUAUGCAAUCUCAGGCCUAGUUAGCACAGCAAACUGCAACCCUCCAAUAGCUCUUAUGUCCUGAGUUGAGCCAGCACAUUUUUCUCUCACAUAUUUGCUCAACUUUUCAGUAGUUGCUAGUAAAGUGUCUAAACCAUUACAGUUCUUCAAAUCAAAUUUGGUAAGCAACUCCUUUAAGUAUUUGGAUUGUGUAAGUACCAGUGUAUCUUCAUUUCUUGUAACUUCAAUGCCAAGAAAGAAGUUAAGUUGUCCCAAAUCCUUAAGAGCACAAGCAUUUCCUAGGUUGUAAAUAAGCUGCUCUAUUUCAACAUGAUUAUUCCUAGUGACUAUGAUAUCAACAUAAACUAACAAGAUGAUUAGAUCAUUUCCAUUUCGUUUGAAAAAUAAGAAUGUGUCUGAUUUUGCUUGACAGAACUGCCAUGAUUCAAGAACUGAUUUUAAUUUUUCAAACCAAGCUCUUAGUGCAUGUUUCAAACCAUAGAGUGCUUUUUUUCAAUUUACAAACAUAUCUUGGGUGAUCUGCAUCCACAAAUCCUUCAGGCUAAGGCAUAUAUACUGUUUCAAUUAACUGUCCAUUCAGGAAUGCAUUAUUAAUGUCAACCUGUCUCAGCUUCCAGUUAUUCAUCACAGCCAUGCUUAAAACAAUUCUUAUAGUAGCUGCUUUCACUAUAGGGCUGAAAAACUCUUGAUAAUCUACUCCUUCAGUUUGUAAGAAAUCCUUUGCUACUAACUUCGCUUUAUAUCUAUUUAUUAUUCCAUCUGAGUUUUGUUUUACUCUAAAAAUCUAUUUAUUUCCCAGAAGUUUCAUAUUUUGUUCUGGUGGAACCAAACACCAGGUCUGAUUCUUUAUUAGAGCAUGAAACUCAUCCUGCAUGGCUAGCUUCCAGUUUUUAUCACUUAAAACUUCAGUAACACUUGAUGGUGUCUCUAGAGACAAUGCUUUUUCAAUAUUGUAGGCUUUAGGCUUAAAGAUUCCAACUUUGGCUCUAGUUAUCAUAGGAUGUGAAGGGUUGAGUUUAGGAAUGGUUUGAGACAUUUCAGGAUUUUGGUUUUGAACUUCAGUGUUUUCAGGUGCAACAGAAUAAUCUGAAGUAUUUUGAGUUUCUGAGUGUGUGUUUGAAACACUGUUUGGCACUGGGGUAGUUUGAUUAUGACUGUUAUCAGAGUCUUGAUCAUCAGAGGGAGUAACAUCUUGAAUUGGAUUCUCAGAUGAGUUUGAACUAGCUACUGUUGCCUCAUGACUAUGACUUUCAGAAGGAAAAGACACUGUGAUGAAUUUACUGAAGGAGUUUAAACACUCAGAUAAUUGAUUUUGUUUUAAAUUCAUGAAUUUCGGAUCUGUUUUGAAAUGAAAUGAGCUUUCAUUGAAGUUAACAUGUGUUGUUAUGUAUAUUCUUCCAUUUGAAUUUAAGAUCAUGUAACCUUUGUGAAAGUGACUGAAACCUAGAUUUACACAUGUAGAAGUAUGAAAAUCGAAUUUAUAUCUGUUGUAGGGUCUUAAGAAAUGAUAGCACUCACAACCAAAUAUUUUGAUAAGAGAGUAAUCUGAUUUCUUUGAGUAAAGAGAUUCAAAUGGUGUUUUGUCAUUUAAAAUAGGUGUGCUGGUUCUGUUUAUAAGAUAUGUGGCAUUAGAAAAAGCUUCCCACUAAAAUUUCAAAGGUAAUCCAGAUGAGCAAGAAGUGUCAAUCUAGUUUCUACAAGGUGUAUGUGCUUUCUUUCAACGUUCCCAUUUUGAUGAUGAGUAUAUGGGUAGGAGUAUUUUAAAGAAAUCCCUUCGUGCUUUAGAUAUGGUUCAAACACUUUAUAUUUUCCUCCCAUGUCACACUGUAAGGCUUUGAUUUUCAGUUCAAGACUUUUAUCAAUUUGGUUUUUGAAAGAAAUGGAUGUUGUAAGUGCCUGUGAUUUAUGUGUUAAUUCAUAAAUCCAUGUGCAAUUGGUUUUGUCAUCAAUGAAAGCUAUAUAGUAUCUAAAGCCUUGAUUUGAUUUAGUGGGAGCAAGACCCCAAAGGUCACUAUGAAUAAUUUUAAGAGCUUUUGAGGUUUUUGUUUCACUAUGUUUGAAUGAUAGUAUGUGUUGUUUUCCAUACUGACGGGCUUUACAGAAAGAUAAACCAGAUGUUUUAUUUACAAAAGAAAUAUUACAAGCUGACAAGGUUUUCAUAAGAGCAUUGAUAUUAGGGUGGCCUAAUCACAUAUGCCACAGAUCAAGCACUUUAUUACUUGUACAAUUUCCAUUACAACUGGCAGAGAACAUAGAUUCAGGUCCAGGUAUUUUAUUUAUUGUAAGCAAACUAGGAGUAGUAGUAGAAGAUAACAGAAUUGACUUGAAUUGCCUGGAAUCAUAAGGCAAACUUAGCAGCUUGUACAAUCCAUCUUUAGCCAUUCCUUUCAAAAGAACACUCCUCCUUCUCUUGUCCUUAACAACACAAAAGGUUUUAUUGAAUUCAAUAAAAACAUCAUUAUCAUGUAAUAGUUUCGAAAUGCUGAUCAAAUUUUUGGUUAUUUCUGGAAUAUAAAGUAUGUGAUUAAGUUUGAUAUGAGAUAAUAUGUGUGAAUCAACUAUGUUGAGCAGUGAGUGACCAAUAGAAACUAUUUUGAGUUCAGCUCCAUUACCUACAGCCAGCUAAUCAUUUCCUUUGUAUUCUGAGCUGAUGUUGAGAUUGUUGAAGUCAUUUGAGAUGUGGUUUGUUGCACCACUGUCAAGGUACCAAGCUCCAUUUCUGUGUCCUUCAUUCUCAGCUAUAUAUGCACUUAUCUUAUUAGGAACUUGAUUUGGCACAUAGUUCUUUUUAAACCUAUACCAGUAGUGAGCAAUAAUAUGAUUUUUCCUGAAACAGAUCUGGCAUGGUCCCUUAGGUUCUUCUUCAUCAAUAGGAUUUUUGCCUUUGAACUUAUCUCAUGGAUUUAUGAUCUGAUUGAAAUUGUUUCCACUAGAUUGCUUUCCAUUAGAGAUUCCAGAUCGUCUUCCACCAUAAUUGUUGUUGUUUCCACCAAAAUUGAAGUUUGAUUGCCAGUUCCUCCUUUGAUUUCCUCUGUGAUAAGCUAGAUUAGCUUGAUAAUCCAUGUGACUGACAGAGUGUUGAUAUUCAAUUCUAUUUUCAUGACUCAGCAGCAUCCCAUACACAUCAGAGAGAGUUGUGCCUUCAGGCUGUGCAUUGAUUGUGGUAACAAUUGAAUCAUAAUCAGAUCCAAGGCCAGCAAGCAAGCACAACACAAAAUCUUCAUUACUCAUAUUGCUUCCAGCAGCUCUCAAUGCAUCAAGAUUGGUUUUCAUCUUAGUGUAGUACUCAUGAAUUAUCAUUGAUCUUUCCUGGUGGUCUGAAUUUGAGUCCUCAGAUGCAGAGCUCUAGCUCUAGAUCUAGCUCCAAACUAAGUUGCAAGAAUCUGCCAUAUAUCCAGAGAAGAUCUGGCUCCAACUACAGCACUUAGAACUUCUUCAUUCAAGGUUGAAAGCAACCAGCUCAUCAGCUGCUGAUCAUUUCUCCUCCAGAUCUGGAACUGUGGAUUUGGAGUUGUGAUCACAGUUUGAUCGCUGUCAAUAUUAAUCACAACUCGAUUUGGUGGACUCUUUGAGUUGUCAAUUAGAUCUUCCAGAUCGUUUGCAUUGAUUGUUGCUAUCACUUGAGAUCGCCAUAGCAAAUAAUUGUUAUUAGUAAGCUUGAUAGGUGUGUUGAAGACAUGUGAGCUGAGAACAGAGGUGCUGACAUUUGAGAUUUGAUUUGUGUUUACAGUUGAGCUUGAAGCUCCAUUGUUGUUUGUUUGAUUUUCAUUACUCGCCAUUGUUGCUUCUCAAAGCUCUGAUACCAUAAGAGAAUUUUGGAUCAUAUUGAGUAAUGAAUUGUAACUAUUUUAUUAAUCUUAACAAUGUACAACUUUGCUGGUAUUUAUAGCUGUACAGCUCAGAAUCCAGCUCAUCAAUUUCGUUUUACAAAUUAACAAACUCAAGUAAAGUGUGUAUGUUAUGAUUUGAUCACAAUCAUUCAUUCAUAACUAAUUUACUACAUCACACAACAGCUGUGGAAUUUCUGUACAAUUGUUCUGCCAUCUGGAAUAUUCUUCCUCUGCACGUGUAGAUUGCAUCACUUCACUUGUGUGAGCAUCUUCCUUGGUUAACAAGUAAACUCCAGCUGGUAUCCCUACGUGAGUUGAUCCAGGUUCAGCGUCAUUCUCAAACUUAACACUCUUAAGAACAUUGAGGGCAUCCGUUGGAGCCUUCAAGAGUUUCUUUCUUCUUUUCAUGAAAUAAAUGAAUUAGUGUUCAUUUAUUCUCAAAUUUUGUUAAUUUGUUACUGGGAGUUUAUUUCUGAUCAACUACUCUCGCGGUGGAGCUAUGCUAUAAAUUUAUAUACAUGUUCAAUGGAUUACAUAUUAUAAUAUAUUAAUAGAUUGUAACCACUAAAGAAAAAAUUAAAAAAAAAAAAAAACACAAGUGAGAACAUUCAUAUUUUUGUAAAAUAUGAUUUUAUCAUGCUUAUUUUACAAUUCUAUUAUUGAGUAACACAAACAACAGAAAGGCACGGCAACUAUUUACGUAUAGUAGUAUUAGUCUUUCGGUAGAUUAAAUUUUCUCUUCAUCUUUCGAAGUUCAUAAAAAGUCUAAGCCGUUAAAAAGAUUCUAGUAACUUUCCACUUUUCUUUUUUCUUUUUUCAAUGUUUGUUACUAUUUUAUCCCAAGAAUAAAACUUAUGAUUGAUUUUUCUAAUUGAUUAAUUAUUGAGUUUUCUUUAGGUAAAUUGAUUUUUUUUGGGUUAAUCAUAAGUAUGUUUGAAGAAGUAAAAUAAAAGAAAUUAAAAAAAGGUUGAAAUUUAAUAAAAUUGUUUGUAACAUAAAAGGGUUUUGAUGGAUUUUUGAAAGAUGAGGAAAAUUGAUUAAUUUUAACAAACAAUAGGGGAGUUUUAUCAUUCUAUUCUCUCGAACAACUCAAUGUGGAGUUGGAAUUGUGCUAUAUUUAGCUGUUAUGAACUGUAUUAAUUCAAUCCAUUUUCAUAUGAAUGUUCAUUUAUGAAAGUUAGUAUAUAUAUAUAUAUGAGUUUUUAAAUUUCACACUUUCAUGCAUGCGUCUUGUUUAUGUUCUACAGUAGAAGUGAAAAACAAAAAGGGGUUUCUUUCAACUUUUUCUCUUGUCUUUCAUUGCAGAUCUCUAUCAUUGUUGGGUCGGGAUUGCUAAUUGGACCUAUUGGAGGACUGAGCCAAAUUAUAAUGUCAUCCAAAUCCUACAAAAUGUUCUCAUAGAAAUUUAGGGCCCGUUUGGUAGCAUUUUUUAUUUUUUGUUUUCAUUUUUGUUUUCAUAAUACAAACAUAAUAUGUGUUUGGUGAGAUGGAUUCAAAAAAUAAAUCACAAAAUAACAAAUUCAGAUCCAGUGUUAUAACUACAAACAUGAAAACGUGUUUAACAUGUUUCCUAAAUAUUACAAACUAAACUCAAAAAUAGAUUAAGAAACAAAACCCAUUCUCUUCGGCAGCAACCCUCUCCCCCCUCUCAUCGUUCUCGAUCUGGUCAACCCCCCCCACGGCCAUCCUCGAUCUAGUCACGGCAGCAGUGCUUUCUCCUUUUCUCCCUCCAACAACAUUUUCUUUGCCGCCGCUGCAACUUUGUCUCUACCGCAGCUGUCCUUUGGUGUGUCAUUCUCUCUCCGUCGUGGCCGUUGCCACAAAAUACGAACGUCGGCCUGCCCAGUUCCAAAUGACAGCCCAGUUCCAGGGCUACUCACAACUGGGAUCAAAGAUGUCACAUCUCGCACCUUACCAAAGUUGAAGCAAAAAGGAUUGGAAUUGCUGGAAUCACUAUUUGAGCUUUCAUCAGAUGAAUUCUCAUCCUUCGACUUGCCAAGCUGAAAUGGAGGGAACGGUCCAGCUUUCUUGGCAAACACACUGAAUCUUGGGUUCUUGACGAUGAGCCUUGAACGGGGUGUUGUAUUGAGCAGAAAUGAAUAGGAGGAAGUAAGCGUCGGGGCCAUGAAUUUUGGAUAUACAAACAGAGGAUAACAAUCAGAAGGACACUCUCCUUCUUCGAUGCAGCUGCAGUUAAGUGUUUUGUUGUAUAUACAACAAAUCUUUGGAUUGCGUACAAUCGAAUUUGGCAUUCAUUGGGUUUUAAUUUGCUUGGGAAUCUUUGUUAUGUGAGUUGCUGAACGUGUAAUGUAAUUUUCCUACUAGUGUUGAUGAUUAUUGAUUAUUGAUUAUUGUGGAAUUUAUGAUUGAAAGUGGAGGAGUGGAUUGGUGAGUCAAUGUGAAGUAGUUUUUUUUUUUUCUUUUGGCAGAGCAAAUAUUGUUUCUGGAAAGCAGUUAAACAGCUUUCUAAUUCCGUGUCUAAUAUGUUUUCAGAAUGAAUAUUCUAAAUAAAAAAAAUUGAAUAAUUAUAGUUUACGUAAGCAACGUUUAAUUUCAAUUACAUGUUGCGCUUUACAUAAUUUUAUGUAUAAUUUUAAGAGAUAUACAUAAUAAAUUUAUUUAAAUUAUUUUGUUGUAUUUAUGUAUGUAUUAGCUAAAUAUUUAUUUUAUGACUACAAAUAUAAUGUAAAUACUUAGUAAAAACUGUUUUUAAAAAAAGUAUUACCAAACGCAUAUUUUUUGUUUUAUCAUUUUCAAUUAUGCUUACCAAACGCAUAUUACUGUUUUCAGUUUUAAAAUAUAGGAUACAAAAAAUGAUACCAGACGCAUAUUUAAAUUCGAAAUACAGCAACUGCAAAACACCAUUUUUAUUUUCAUUCAAAACACCAUUUUUUACAAAUUCAAAAAUGAUACCAGACGCAUAUUUAAAUUCGAAAUACAGCAACUGCAAAACACCAUUUUUAUUUUCAUUUUUAUUCUCAAAAAAUACAAAUUCAGAAACAAUACCAAACGAGCCCUUAGAUUCUUUGUUUUCUCUCUUUUAUUGAGGGAGAAUUAGAUGUAUUCUCUAUGGUGGUAUUAUGUUUGGAAGUGAUCAAUUGGGGAAAAAAAGUUGUAUAUGUGAAUUACAAAAGAUCAAGGAUUCUGGAAUAAAGGAUAGUCUCAAAAUGAUAACGAUGACCAUUGAUAAAUGAUGAAAAAUAGAGGCGUUUCGAAAGUUACUAUAAUCUCCUGAUAAAAUCAUUAAUUUUGUUUUAUUUUUAAUGUUUUUAGUUGAGUUAAGAAGCCAGUUAACUUAAAGAAUUGUUUUCCUUUGAAAUAUCAAAGUCACUAAACCCCACUUCGUAAUUUUUUUGUCACACAAAUGCUUGACUUAUUCAUUUGAUUAAAAGAAAUAUAAAACAACUAAGAUGUUCUAGUAGAUAAUGUUGCUUAUGUUUAUAUUCAAAUUUCUUAUCAAAACACCCUUUAUUUUCCGACGCUUUCAUGCAACUAACAAAGCAAUUUCGUUGGCCUAAGGUUAAGGUUUACUUGUGGUGCUUGAUUGACUUAAAAGUCUUCGUCAACUGCAACUCAAUCACAAUAUGAACAGAAUGACCUUUUGAGGGACAUAAAUAAUACGAGCCCAUUUGAUUUGUACUGUUUCUGUUAUAAUUAAUAUUCUUUCUUCCCAUUUCAUCUUCUUUUAAGCUCAAAAGCCCGGAAAUUCUCAUAAAGCAUAUGUUAACCCCUUAAAUUUUUGACUUAAAAGCUUGAUUACAUUUUUCUUUUAUUAGUAUAUGUGCAUACCAUAUGAUCACUGUUCAACAUUAGUAAGGACUAAUUUGAAAUUGCGGUGGCUGAAGUCUUAUUUGAGAGUGGAGGUUACACUAAGGUGGUAGCCAUCACUAAGGGAGAGUCUUAUAUUUUAUAAGGUUUCAAUAGUUUGUAUUUUUUGGUGCCUAGUGAAUUACUUGAUAUUUGACUGUCGCUCUGUAAACAUAAGAAUUUGAAUUGUAGACUAUGAAAAAAUUCUCUUGUGUGCUUUACUUUUAUGUACGGUAUUUUUACACAUUUUUAUUUGUUUAAUUAACUUUUAAUUAAACUCGGUAAACCUACUUUUAUGUACGGUAUUUUUACACAUUUUUAUUUGUUUGAUUAACUUUUAAUUAAACUCGGUAAACGUACUAAAAUUGGAUCUAUCACACAAUAUUAAAAAAAUAAAUUUUAUUUUUUUACUUUCAACAUAAACUUGUAAAAAGUGUAUGAAUUAAACUACGUUAAUUUUUUAACUUUUUAUUAAUGCAUAUAAUUUAUAUUUUCAUAAGAAACCAUUUUUUUAAACUUUUUUAAGUCCUAUCAUUAAUUGCCAAAUAUCUUUAAUUAGUAUAAAAAGAAAUGUUUUUCAGGACGUUCUUUCGGAUGUGGAAAAAAUAAAGUAAACAAAACAAAAUUAAAAAUAUUUCUUUCGGAUAUUAAAAAAUAUAAAUAAUAUAUGUAAUAUAGAUACUUAUAUUUUAAUCUACUCAAAUUUUAAUCAAACUUGAAUUUAUUCAAUUUCAUAAGAAAAAAAAGGACCCUACCUAGAUAUUCUCACCGUUAAAAUUGAAUGACCAGUUGUUUAAAGGGGAAAUACAUCAAAAUUCUACACUACACAAGUCUUUUCUCCUGUACAUUCUCGUCUUUUCUUCUCAUGUUGGUUUCAUACAGGGACUGCUAUGCCGAUUGCGGGACCUUGCGGAAUAAAUGGGAAAAAACUGUUCACACGAAAGAAACAUUGAACAACUUUUUUAAAAUUGAAUAAAUGGUAUGCCGAUUGCAUCCUGAUCUUUGAUCUUUUUCAUGCACUGUAUGUCAAUUUAUAACAUUGAACAACUUUUUUAAAAAUCAGCAAAAAAUUCUAAUCAUCAUUAUUUUCACGCGAAAGAAAGACUUUUCAGCCAAACAAAUUUUAGAAAUUUCCACACAAGUUGCAAAGGUGACAGAACUGUCACUCUUAAGAUAGCUUUGCUUACAAAAGAAAGAUUCAGCAUUUCAAUUUCUUGGCACCAUGGCAUGUAGUAUCCUGGAAGGUAGAGCUGGCAAAAUUUGACACGAUCCGAUUACCCGACACGAACACGACACGAAUAAAUGGGUAUGGGUCGUCGAAUUUAACACGAUUAUUAAAUGGGUUGGGUCCGGGUCGACACGAUUUUUUUUCGUGUCGGGUUAGGGUUAAAGUUUUUGACCCAUUUAUCCUAUCAAUUACCCAAUUAUAUUUUUUAUUUUAAAAUAAUUUGUAGGUUCUUGUUAUCAAAACUCAAAUAUUAGAGAUGAUUCUCUCUUUUAUUUUUAUUUUUUGAAAAGAUGAAUAUAAACACAGUAUUUUAUUUAUAAAAUUUUAUAUACAUUUAGAGCUUCAAUAACGUAAAUGUGUAAAGUAAAAUAUUGUUAGACAUGUAUAUUUUAUAAUAUCGAUAAAUAAUAUUAUAUAUAUAUAGUGUAAAUGUGUAAUAUUUUGGUAGAUAUGUACAUUUUAUAAUAUUGAUAAAUUAUGUAUGUAUUUAUGUAUGUAAGUCAGUGUAAAUGUUUGAUGUAAAUUUUAUUUAAUAUAUAGAUAUUAAGCGAGUUAUUGGAUAACCUGAUUAUUUUUCCGUAUCGGGUCUGGGUCGACCUAAAUUUGACACGACACAAAGCUGACACGACACGAACACAACUCGAUGACCCGUUUUGCCAGCUCUACUGGAAGGUGGAAGUUUACUUCUCUUCCGUUUCGUUUUUCCACUUCAAAUUAAUUAAAUUUUCCUGAUCAUCUCUUUCUGCCCCUCCCCUAUAUAAGCAUCGACUCAUUCCCUCUUUAUCAUCAUCUCUCUACAUACAGCUGUAUGACAAUGGCAACCUUCUUGAGUUGUGCAUUCAUUUUCUUCUUCCUUUGUCUCUCAGUUAUCUCUCCAGCAGGGGCUCAAACUGGAGGGUUCAGUGUUGAACUGAUCCACCGUGACUCUCCAAAGUCUCCCUUCUAUAACCCUAAUGAAACUCCCUACCAACGGUUGAGAAAUGCUUUGAAUCGUUCUGCCAAUCGUCUCAGUCACUUCAAUAAAAACUCAUCAGUCUCUUCAUCAAAAGUUUCCCAAGCUGAUAUAAUACCUAAUGGUGGUGACUAUCUCAUUCGUAUAUCAAUAGGUACUCCCCCUGUUGAAAUACUAGCUGUGGCUGACACAGGAAGUGAUCUCAUAUGGACACAGUGUCAACCCUGCCCACCAUCACAAUGUUACAAGCAAGAUAAUCCACUUUUUGAUCCUCAAAAGUCUUCCACUUACAAAUAUCUUUCUUGCUCAUCGAGCCAAUGCGCACCACCGAUCAAAGAUUCUUGCUCUGCAGAGGGGAAUUGCAAAUAUUCAGUCCGCUACGGAGACCAAGAAUCUUUCUCAAAAGGCGAUCUAGCUACCGAAACUGUUACUUUGGGAUCAACAUCCGGACAGGCCGUGGCUCUGCCAGAAAUAGUCUUUGGCUGCGGAACAAAAAAUGAUGGGAAAUUUAAUUCCAAAACUGAUGGCAUCGUUGGCCUUGGGGGAGGUGAUGCUUCCCUUAUUUCUCAAAUAAGAACUACAAUUGCAGGUAAAUUCUCCUACUGCUUGGUGCAACAAAGCUCAACCAAAAUCAAUUUUGGCACCAAUGGAAUUGUUUCAGGUUCUGGCGUAGUUUCUACUCCCUUGCUUGUUAAGAAUCCCAAAACCUUCUAUUACCUCACACUCGAUGCAAUCAGUGUAGGAGAUCAAAGACUAGGUGUUAUUUCAGGAUCAACUCCGGGAGGAGACAUUGUAAUUGAUUCUGGUACUACACUUACCUAUUUACCACCAGCUUAUGCCUCAACAUUGCUUUCAGUAAUGUCCAGUAUGAUAGCUGCACAACCCGUUGAAG
rnacentral:lncRNA from 1 species